rnacentral:rRNA from 1 species
GACGAACCGUGCGAACGUUAUUCGGAAUCACUGGGCUUAAAGCGCGUGUAGGCGGAUAGGGACGUCGGUCGCUGAAAUCCCCCGGCUCAACCGGGGAACGGGCACCGAAACGCCCUGUCUGGAGGGACGUAGGGGGACCUGGAACAUCCGGUGGAGCGGUGAAAUGCGUUGAGAUCGGAUGGAACGCCCGUGGCGAAAGCGAGGUCCUGGACGUCUUCUGACGCUGAGACGCGAAAGCUAGGGUAGCGAACGGG